rnacentral:rRNA from 1 species
AAUAUUGCGCAAUGGCCGAAAGGCUGACGCAGCGACGCCGCGUGCGGGAGGAAGCCCUUCGGGGUGUAAACCGCUGUCAGGGGGGACGAACCGCCGGGGUGGGAAUACUGCUCCGGUCUGACGGUACCCCCAGAGGAAGCACCGGCUAACUCCGUGCCAGCAGCCGCGGUAAUACGGAGGGUGCGAGCGUUGUUCGGAAUUACUGGGCGUAAAGCGCGCGCAGGCGAAUGUGCAAGUCGAAGGUGAAAUCCCGGGGCUCAACCCUGGGACUGCUCUCGAUACUGCAUGUCUAGGGACCGGUAGAGGUCGGUGGAAUUCCCGGUGUAGCGGUGGAAUGCGUAGAUAUUGGGAGGAACACCAGUGGCGAAGGCGGCUUCCUGGACUGCACCUGACGCUGAGGCGCGAAAGCUAGGGGAGCGAAC